GCUGCCCUGACUGGGAAGAAGGGGCACCCAUGGAGAAGCACUCUGGGUUCCCCGGCCCCUUGGCCGUCCUCUGUGGAUGAAGUUUAUAAGCCGUGAGUGAACCUGAGGCUCUCGCCAACGAGACUUUCAGAAAUGUCCCAUCUGUUUUCUGUUUAAAAUGGGCUUUUCAUUUGUGGAGAAGUUUCAGAUCAAGGAUUAUGUUAAUGCCAGAGAUGGAAACAGUGCCAGAGGUAAGAUCAUUCAGAUGGGAUUCCUUGGAAGAUCUCUUGACGUUUGAUGCCUAACUCAUAAUCCUUUUCCUUGUGAAUGGGUGUAGUCCUGCCUGGUCGCCCUCAGGGACCCCAGGUUUCUUGACAGCUAACUAAGGAAAAGCCUGUGGGAGGCUGGAAGAGAGAGGGACAAGACCAGGAGACAAAGAAGAGAGGAGACAGUGGCUAGGGCGGAGCGUGCCCUACAGGGGACAGCCCCCACUCGACUCAUCUUUCCUGACACCAUGCGGCAUCAUGAAGGGCUCUGUCCUGAAACAGAAUUGCCUGACCACUUCUGAAGGAGAGUGAGGCCUACCUUUUGAAGACUUGCAUUUCCCCUGCCACACCUUUGGUCCCCAUCCAAGUGAAGGAUUUAAAAAAUGGAAAUGUUCAUGUCCAUAGUCAGAAAAACAAAACGCAGUUAAAAUGAUGCGGAGAAGCUACGUUUAUCACUGUCGUUAGGGAGUGUUUGUGGGCUGGGAAACUUGAAAAAAAGGCCGGCAGCCUGGUUCGUGAGUGUUCAGAGAUCUCUGAAAAACACAGUCCCAGCUGGACUCUGUCUCCACCACAGAGGACAUGAUACGAAGAAGUGGGCUCACGUGGCAAUAUGAAGGAUUUGCGUUAAGCAGAAUGUAAACAGACAGUAAAAACAAAGCCUGUGUAUGAGGAAAGAAUCUGACAGUUUACCCAGACCUCAGGGCUUAGAGCCCAGGAAUGUUUUUAAAAGUUUACCCUGAAAAUAUCUGUACAGUUCUGGAAAUGACAAUAAUGUCAUUUGGGGGCACCGCCCAUGAUAGUUCCAUCUACAGCUGACAGUUCCACUCAAUCCUAAAACUCAGGUCUCUCCAUCUACCUUUCGAGGCUGAAACGUGUCUGCAUUUAAUUUGGAUCUGCCCACGAACUCUGCUGUGUGCUGUCCGGUGAGAAAUGGGGCUGAACGUACACACUGCAGCCUUGGCGGAUCAGCACGAUAACUUGUUACAGGUCUCCUAAGACUCGGAGAUCUUAAACCAUUGCCUUUCAAACGCUGA